rnacentral:rRNA from 1 species
AGUGAACGCUGGCGGUAGGCCUAACACAUGCAAGUCGAACGGCAGCACAGGAGAGCUUGCUCUCUGGGUGGCGAGUGGCGGACGGGUGAGGAAUACAUCGGAAUCUACUUUUUCGUGGGGGAUAACGUAGGGAAACUUACGCUAAUACCGCAUACGACCUACGGGUGAAAGCAGGGGACCUUCGGGCCUUGCGCGAUUGAAUGAGCCGAUGUCGGAUUAGCUAGUUGGCGGGGUAAAGGCCCACCAAGGCGACGAUCCGUAGCUGGUCUGAGAGGAUGAUAAGCCACACUGGAACUGGGACACGGUCCAGACUCCUACGGGAGGAAACAGUGGGGAAUAUUGGACAAUGGGCGCAAGCCUGAUCCAGCCAUACCGCGUGGGUGAAGAAGGCCUUCGGGUUGUAAAGCCCUUUUGUUGGGAAAGAAAUCCAGCUGGCUAAUACCCGGUUGGGAUGACGGUACCCAAAGAAUAAGCACCGGCUAACUUCGUGCCAGCCGCCGCCGUAA